GUGUUACUUGACUGAAUGAUUAAUGAUAUUUACACAAGUAUCAUAAGUCCAACCACCAUGAUCUCUCUCCUGGACCACUUUCACGUGACCUCCUCUUGUCCACCCGGCAGCCAGACCAUCUUUCUGAAACAUCAAGCAGACUGUGUCAUUCUUCUACUCCCUGUGGUGGCCAUCCCGCUGCCUAGAAUAAGAUAAGAGCUUCCCACUGUGGCCUCUCAGACCUGCCCGGGGCCCGCCUCCACCCACUCUCCUCCUGGCCCAAUAAGUUCCACCCGCGUAGGUGUAGUUUAACAUCUCCCAGUCAUUUCUGUUUCACACCAAGCCGUCUGCGUUAGAACUUCUGCCCUUGCUCUUCUUCCCGACUAGAAUGAUUUUCCAGAAAUUUUCUCAUGAACGGCUUCCUGCCUUUCAGAUCUCAGUUCCUUAAUCAUGUCUUCAGAGAGACCUCUGACCACCUGAUCUGAACAGUCUUCUCUCUUGUUCUCUGUCCUAUCGCCCCGUUUCAGUCUCCAUAGCACACGGUUCUCUAGAAGCAGUCUGUCUAUGCACGUGUCCACCCUCUUACUGGCUGCUCCUCUGCACAGAAUACAAGCCACGCGAGAAGGGGGUUGCAUGCCUGUCUUGUUUAAUACCAGGGAGAAAGGUGUUAGGGCAGCUUGACUGUGAUCUGUUUCCCUCUAGUUACUGGGAACACACAGGGGCCACUCGGGAGAGAGAAGGCAGGUAGGCUGGACUGUCUCUGUCACCAAGGCAAUACCCCAUCUCCUGAAAAUCCAGGACAAGAUGGCUUCAUUGGUAACUCCUACCAAACAAGAAGAAUUAAUACCACUUCUUCACAAAAUCUUCCAAGAAAUUAGAGGGAACACAUCACAACUCCUUCAGUGAGUUUCCUGAAGAUUUUUGCUGAAGGAUGUCUUGCAAUCAUCAUAAGAACCACAAGGGCCGGUGCAACCACAACAUUGAUUAUUGAUAGGCUGAGAUCAACACAAUAAAUUGGUGUCGUGAUUGCACUUGGAAUUAACCAAGGGUGAUGCUCUUUACCUGCAACUUGCUUAACAACCAUCUGACUCAGGUGAGUAACACCAUCUGGGGAAGGACCACUGCUUGGCGGGGGUUGCAAGCUGCUAUGUGCUUCUGCUUAUUAUCGCCUCUGUUGUGUGUUCCCGGUGGUGUUGAUCCAAAGAUCACGGCUGCCAUAACCAUCGGACACUCUCCCAAGAGCAGUGUGAUCAAGGCCAUCUGUCUAAUGACUAACUAUAACGGCCUUAAUUGACUGUUAAUGUGGGGAGGGUUCUCCAUGCCUUGAGGCCAGGAGGUGGAUUGGAUGGCAAGGCUAUUGUCAUGGUCCAAGGAGAGGCUCUGGGCUAAAGGACGUGAGGACAGGAUUCCGCAGGUGAGCAGGACGAGAGACCUCUGCCUUCAACCUCUGACUCAGUGAGUUGCGCCCGGACUACGUGUCCUAACCCAGAAGAGUGAAGUAACCUUGCACCCAGAAACCAGUGGCACCACCCCUGACCCAGUGGGAUAUUAUGGAUCCAAUCCCUGGUGUGAUGUUGCUAAAAAAUAAUGGACAA